GGUUGUUUGUGAAAACCCAUUGAUGGGUAAAAAAUCACCCAUUUUCGAAUAGCAUGUUUAUCUGUCAUAAAAUGUAUAAAUUUAUCAAAAAAAAAAGGGUAAAAAAAUACCCAUUUUAAUCAUCCUUAUUCAGCUUAUAAAUGGGUAUUUUUUUACACAUUAAUGGGUGAAAAAAUAGUUAUCAAUAAUUUUAGUCGCAGCCGAAGUGUUUUAUUUGGAAUUUUUAAGAAGUCUCUGGUGCGUAUUGAGAAAUAAAACAAUGAAAUCCCUAAUUAUUACAGUGAGGUUACCUGAGUCACUGAGGUUUUCAGUAGAAAGAACAGAUGUGUUACACAAGAUGUCAUCUGCAAGCCUGUCUUCAAGGUUUCCGGAUCUCCGGAACGACAUCAAACUUCGCCGUAUCUAUUCUUGAUGGACGCAUCGGACACACAACACCACCCCGGACCUGAAAGUUUUUCCGCAACCCCUAAAAUGGAGCCAGUUCUGUGGCCGCAUCGAUAGUGAAGGAACGCCGUCAGUACAAAAUGUUAUC